AGGCACCUGGUUGUGGGUGUGUCGGUGGUGGAUCUGUUCUGGGGUCCGCCCCUGAGGCCCCACGGAGAGGUGUCCCGGUACGGCUGCUGAGGGACGGGCGGUCCGUCUUCAGCGGGGACCCCCAACGCCUCCAGCUUCACCGACACCGGCCUGCUGCCGGACCGCCGGUACAUCUAUGAGCUUGAGGCCAUCACAGGGGGCGGCGCCAGUGUGAGUGACAGAUACGUGGUCCAAACACCUGCUUCCUGUCCUUCCGGGAUCCCGCCUCCCCACAACGUCACGGUGACCGGCCCUCGGUCCCUCUCCCUGGCCUGGGGGCCCCCAGCCGGGUUCGACAGCAGUCAGGUGCUCCUCUACAACAUCCUGUUCAACCCAGGAAGUGAUGCGGCCCUGACGCGCCCGGCGGGCCAGGCGUCCCGACUCAGCGUCACGGGACUCGAACCCUCCACCUCCUACCACGUCAGGGUGCAGGCCUGCC